AUGUUCUCGCAAGAGCUGCUCAUCUCCACAACACUCGUUCUGCUUCUUCCCAUAUACUACUUGUGCCUGAGGGCUGGCUGUAGAUCAAAUAACCCAGCGGUGAUCCCAACAACUGGCCAAUACUGCACAUGUUCCCUUCCUUCGUGGCCAACCUCCACAACUUGCAGGAUUAUUUCACCCUUGUCCUCGCUGGAUCAGGUCACAACUUCAGGGCGCACGGCCCUCCUGGAACCGGAAUGCAGUUCUUCGUCACAUGCGACCCUGCCAACAUCCGGCACAUCUUCACGACCAACUACACCAACUUUCCCAAGGGUGCGGAGUUCGCCGCGAUCUUCGACAUCAUGGGUGGCAGCAUCUUCACCAUCGACGGUGAGCCAGCCCGUCGACAGCGUGCGAAAAUCAAGGGCGUACUCAGCAGCCAGCGGUUGCUUGCAAGGAUGGAGGCUUGCUGCCGCGACAAGGUUUAUGUUUGACAUGGCUGCUACUCCUCUCUUCGAUGUGGACCCUGGUCUCCUAUCUUGGGACAUGCCGCCCAUGGACGCUGCCGUUGCCAUGGACACGGUCAUGGAGGUGGCCUUAUUCCGAGUCAUGAUGCCAGCUUCUUGUUGGAGGUUGAUCAGGUGGCUAAACAUGGACCCUGAGAGGAAGCUCAAGGCAGCACACACGGUGCUAUGUGCCUUCGUCAUGGAGAUGAUGGAUAGGAGGAAGGUCAACACAUGUCGUGUUGGCAAUGACGAGGAACAAGAAGGUAUAGAUAUUUUUUCUUCCUUCCUCAACGACCCCGAUUAUGACGAUGAUGACUUGCUCCGUGCGAUGAUCAUUAGCUACAUGCUCGCUGCCAGGGACACAGUUGGAGCAACAUUGACAUGGAUUUUCUACAACCUUGCCCAACACCCUAAAAUUGUGUCAAUCAUCCGCAAAGAACUCUCACCCAUUGCAUCACGUAAAGUAGCGGCCGGUGUGGAUUCCAUGGUGAUCUUCGAGCCGAAUGAGACCAAAUCUCUGGUCUAUCUAAGAGCCGUCUUGUACGAGACUCUCAGGUUGUACCCAGCGGCGCCUCUUGAGCGCAAGGUAGUCGCCGCUGAUGAUAUCAUGCCGAGUGGCCAUGAGGUGCACACCGGCGACACCAUCUUUAUUUCUCUCCAUUCCAUGGGGAGAAUGCAGGGCAUAUGGGGUAAAGAUUGCCUGAACUACAAUCCAGAUAGGUGGUUCUCGGAGGAUGGCAACAAGCUAAGGUACAUACCAUCUCACAAGUUCUUGGCCUUCAACUCGGGCCCGAGGAUGUGCCUCGGGAAGGACAUCGCGGUUAUGCAGAUGAAGACAGUCAUCGCCUCAACAUUGUGGAACUUCGAUGUGGAGGUGAUGGAAGGGCAAAGCAUCCAGCCUAAGCCGUCUUGUAUACUGGAGAUGAAAAAUGGGCUUAUGGUUAAGCUGAAAAAGCGAGAAAUGUAA
rnacentral:rRNA from 1 species